rnacentral:rRNA from 1 species
GACGAACGCUGGCGGCGUGCCUAAUACAUGCAAGUCGAACGAACGGAUUGAGGAGCUUGCUCUUCAUGAAGUUAGUGGCGGACGGGUGAGUAACACGUGGGUAACCUGCCCUUCAGUGGGGGAUAACACUUGGAAACAGGUGCUAAUACCGCAUAAUCUUUUUUCUCGCAUGAGAGAAAAGUGAAAGACGCUUUUGCGUCACUAGAGGAUGGACCCGCGCUGCAUUACGCUAGUUGGUGAGGUAAUGGCUCACCAAGGCCACGAUGCAUAGCCGACCUGAGAGGGUGAUCGGCCACACUGGGACUGAGACACGGCCCAG